CCUACGGGAGGCAGCAGUGAGGAAUAUUGGUCAAUGGGCGCGAGCCUGAACCAGCCAAGUAGCGUGAAGGAUGACUGCCCUCCGGGUUGUAAACUGCUUUUAUAAAGGAAUAAAGUGAGGCUCGUGUGCCUUUUUUUCUGUAUUUUAUGAAUAAGGAUCGGCUAACUUCGCGCCAGCAGCCGCGGUAAUAUGGAGGAUCCGAGCGUUAUCUGGAUUUAUUGGGUUUAAAGGGAGCGUAGAUGGGUUGUUAAGUCAGUUGUGAAAGUUUGCGGCUCAACCGUAAAAUUGCAAUUGAUACUGGAAGCCUUGAGUACAGUUGAGGUAGGCGGAAUUCGUGGUGUAGCGGUGAAAUGCUUAGAUAUCACGAAGAACUCCGAUUGCGAAGGCA
rnacentral:rRNA from 1 species